CUGCAUCGCCUGGCCCAAUCCACCAGCCUAGGCCCAGAAAGUUCUUUGUACUCAGGAGGAAGAAAUAUGGCUACUGAGAACAGCCUAAAGGGGCGAAUGGAUGAGGGGGCCACAACAGAAGAGGACGCCCAGUGAGGAGGCUCCUGUGACUGUCCAGCCCCACGGAUUAGCGUGCUAUAUGGUGUAUUUACUAUCUGCACGAAGACAGGGAGCAACCGCACGUGGCCCAUCAGUUCCACAGCCCUGGCUUCUCCAGGAAGUGGAGUUCAUUCUUCCUCAACGACUAAUUGAGCACCUGCUGUGUACCGGCACUGUGUGGCAAGGAGCGAGGCAGGCUGGGCGUUCCUGAGACUCACAGUCUGGGGGAAGCAGGUGUCAACGGAGUUCUCUCCAGCAGCGGGGUAUCUGGACGUGUGUGGAGGCGAGUGAGGUCAGCACAAA